rnacentral:rRNA from 1 species
GUGCCAGCAGCCUGCGGUAAUUCCAGCUCCAAUAGCGUAUAUUAAAGUUGUUGUGGUUAAAAAGCUCGUAGUUGAACCUUGGGCCUGGCUGGCCGGUCCGCCUCACCGCGUGCACUGGUCCGGCCGGGCCUUUCCCUCUGUGGAACCCCAUACCCUUCACUGGGCGUGGCGGGGAAACAGGACAUUUACUUUGAAAAAAUUAGAGUGCUCCAGGCAGGCCUAUGCUCGAAUACAUUAGCAUGGAAUAAUAAAAUAGGACGCGCGGUUCUAUUUUGUUGGUUUAUAGGACCGCCGUAAUGAUUAAUAGGGACAGUCGGGGGCAUCAGUAUUCAACUGUCAGAGGUGAAAUUCUUGGAUCAGUUGAAGACUAACUACUGCGAAAGCAUUUGCCAAGGAUGUUUUCAUUAAUCAGGAACGAAAGUUAGGGGAUCGAAGACGAUCAGAUACCGUCGUAGUCUUAACCAUAAACUAUGCCGACUAGGGAUCGGACGGUGUUAUUCAUGACCCGUUCGGCACCUUACGAGAAAUCAAAGUGCUUGGGCUCCAGGGGGAGUAUGGUCGCAAGGCUGAAACUUAAAGAAAUUGACGGAAGGGCACCACCAGGGGUGGAGCCUGCGGCUUAAUUUGACUCAACACGGGGAAACUCACCAGGUCCAGACACAAUAAGGAUUGACAGAUUGAGAGCUCUUUCUUGAUUUUGUGGGUGGUGAUGCAUGGCCGUUCUUAGUUGGUGGGGUGACUUGUCUGCUUAAUUGCGAUAACGAACGAGACCUUAACUGCUAAAUAGCCCGCAUUGCUCCGGCAGUGCGCUGCUCUAGAGGACUUUCGCUCAGCGAGAAGUUGAGCAUACAGCUGGAUGCCUAGAUGUUCUGGGCGGACGGCGCUAACCUGACGGGGUCA